GGGUUGUGAGGUUAAGCGACUAAGCGUACACGGUGGAUGCCCUGGCAGUCAGAGGCGAUGAAGGACGUGCUAAUCUGCGAUAAGCGUCGGUAAGGUGAUAUGAACCGUUAUAACCGGCGAUUUCCGAAUGGGGAAACCCAGUGUGUUUCGACACACUAUCAUUAACUGAAUCCAUAGGUUAAUGAGGCGAACCGGGGGAACUGAAACAUCUAAGUACCCCGAGGAAAAGAAAUCAACCGAGAUUCCCCCAGUAGCGGCGAGCGAACGGGGAGCAGCCCAGAGCCUGAAUCAGUGUGUGUGUUAGUGGAAGCGUCUGGAAAGGCGCGCGAUACAGGGUGACAGCCCCGUACACAAAAAUGCACAUGCUGUGAGCUCGAUGAGUAGGGCGGGACACGUGGUAUCCUGUCUGAAUAUGGGGGGACCAUCCUCCAAGGCUAAAUACUCCUGACUGACCGAUAGUGAACCAGUACCGUGAGGGAAAGGCGAAAAGAACCCCGGCGAGGGGAGUGAAAAAGAACCUGAAACCGUGUACGUACAAGCAGUGGGAGCCUCUUUUAUGGGGUGACUGCGUACCUUUUGUAUAAUGGGUCAGCGACUUAUAUUCUGUAGCAAGGUUAACCGAAUAGGGGAGCCGAAGGGAAACCGAGUCUUAACUGGGCGUUAAGUUGCAGGGUAUAGACCCGAAACCCGGUGAUCUAGCCAUGGGCAGGUUGAAGGUUGGGUAACACUAACUGGAGGACCGAACCGACUAAUGUUGAAAAAUUAGCGGAUGACUUGUGGCUGGGGGUGAAAGGCCAAUCAAACCGGGAGAUAGCUGGUUCUCCCCGAAAGCUAUUUAGGUAGCGCCUCGUGAAUUCAUCUCCGGGGGUAGAGCACUGUUUCGGCAAGGGGGUCAUCCCGACUUACCAACCCGAUGCAAACUGCGAAUACCGGAGAAUGUUAUCACGGGAGACACACGGCGGGUGCUAACGUCCGUCGUGAAGAGGGAAACAACCCAGACCGCCAGCUAAGGUCCCAAAGUCAUGGUUAAGUGGGAAACGAUGUGGGAAGGCCCAGACAGCCAGGAUGUUGGCUUAGAAGCAGCCAUCAUUUAAAGAAAGCGUAAUAGCUCACUGGUCGAGUCGGCCUGCGCGGAAGAUGUAACGGGGCUAAACCAUGCACCGAAGCUGCGGCAGCGACGCUUAUGCGUUGUUGGGUAGGGGAGCGUUCUGUAAGCCUGUGAAGGUGUGCUGUGAGGCAUGCUGGAGGUAUCAGAAGUGCGAAUGCUGACAUAAGUAACGAUAAAGCGGGUGAAAAGCCCGCUCGCCGGAAGACCAAGGGUUCCUGUCCAACGUUAAUCGGGGCAGGGUGAGUCGACCCCUAAGGCGAGGCCGAAAGGCGUAGUCGAUGGGAAACAGGUUAAUAUUCCUGUACUUGGUGUUACUGCGAAGGGGGGACGGAGAAGGCUAUGUUGGCCGGGCGACGGUUGUCCCGGUUUAAGCGUGUAGGCUGGUUUUCCAGGCAAAUCCGGAAAAUCAAGGCUGAGGCGUGAUGACGAGGCACUACGGUGCUGAAGCAACAAAUGCCCUGCUUCCAGGAAAAGCCUCUAAGCAUCAGGUAACAUCAAAUCGUACCCCAAACCGACACAGGUGGUCAGGUAGAGAAUACCAAGGCGCUUGAGAGAACUCGGGUGAAGGAACUAGGCAAAAUGGUGCCGUAACUUCGGGAGAAGGCACGCUGAUAUGUAGGUGAAGCGACUUGCUCGUGGAGCUGAAAUCAGUCGAAGAUACCAGCUGGCUGCAACUGUUUAUUAAAAACACAGCACUGUGCAAACACGAAAGUGGACGUAUACGGUGUGACGCCUGCCCGGUGCCGGAAGGUUAAUUGAUGGGGUCAGCGCAAGCGAAGCUCUUGAUCGAAGCCCCGGUAAACGGCGGCCGUAACUAUAACGGUCCUAAGGUAGCGAAAUUCCUUGUCGGGUAAGUUCCGACCUGCACGAAUGGCGUAAUGAUGGCCAGGCUGUCUCCACCCGAGACUCAGUGAAAUUGAACUCGCUGUGAAGAUGCAGUGUACCCGCGGCAAGACGGAAAGACCCCGUGAACCUUUACUAUAGCUUGACACUGAACAUUGAGCCUUGAUGUGUAGGAUAGGUGGGAGGCUUUGAAGUGUGGACGCCAGUCUGCAUGGAGCCGACCUUGAAAUACCACCCUUUAAUGUUUGAUGUUCUAACGUUGACCCGUAAUCCGGGUUGCGGACAGUGUCUGGUGGGUAGUUUGACUGGGGCGGUCUCCUCCUAAAGAGUAACGGAGGAGCACGAAGGUUGGCUAAUCCUGGUCGGACAUCAGGAGGUUAGUGCAAUGGCAUAAGCCAGCUUGACUGCGAGCGUGACGGCGCGAGCAGGUGCGAAAGCAGGUCAUAGUGAUCCGGUGGUUCUGAAUGGAAGGGCCAUCGCUCAACGGAUAAAAGGUACUCCGGGGAUAACAGGCUGAUACCGCCCAAGAGUUCAUAUCGACGGCGGUGUUUGGCACCUCGAUGUCGGCUCAUCACAUCCUGGGGCUGAAGUAGGUCCCAAGGGUAUGGCUGUUCGCCAUUUAAAGUGGUACGCGAGCUGGGUUUAGAACGUCGUGAGACAGUUCGGUCCCUAUCUGCCGUGGGCGCUGGAGAACUGAGGGGGGCUGCUCCUAGUACGAGAGGACCGGAGUGGACGCAUCACUGGUGUUCGGGUUGUCAUGCCAAUGGCACUGCCCGGUAGCUAAAUGCGGAAGAGAUAAGUGCUGAAAGCAUCUAAGCACGAAACUUGCCCCGAGAUGAGUUCUCCCUGACUCCUUGAGAGUCCUGAAGGAACGUUGAAGACGACGACGUUGAUAGGCCGGGUGUGUAAGCGCAGCGAUGCGUUGAGCUAACCGGUACUAAUGAACCGUGAGGCUUAA
rnacentral:rRNA from 1 species